rnacentral:misc_RNA from 1 species
ACGGAAGAAGGGGACUAUAAGGUCAAGCUACGCAACCUUAUCAAGUUCCUUAGUGAGGGUGACAAAGCCAAGGUAUCCCUGCGAUUCCGCGGCCGCGAAAUGGCUCAUCAGGAGCUGGGCAUGGAGUUGUUGAAGCGGGUCGAAGCCGAUCUCGCCGAAUACGGCACCGUUGAACAGCACCCGAAAAUGGAAGGUCGUCAAUUGAUGAUGGUCCUAGCACCCAAGAAGAAAAAGUAAUCUCCAGGGCAACGCCAGGCCUUGUGAUUAUCUUAUCCACUCUAUUUGGAGUACCUGAACAUGGCAAAGAUGAAAACCAA